GUUCCUCAUCUAGUGGGACGAGUUUCUGGAAUUGUGUCGAUGAUUAUUCUGGAUUAUUCUGCCCAAUUAAGCUAUCUUCGUCAGGAUGGUGAGGCUCUCCGGUCAGUGUAGUUUCAGUGACGUUGUGAGUGCUUUCAGCUUGGCGUCGGGCAAAUGGAUAACCUACCGCUGAAUCGUCUGCAUUGAGCUGCGUACUGCUGAUCUGAUCGGUAUGUAAUUUUAUUUUAAUUGUAGCUUUCUGAAUAGAUUAACCUUGCAAUGGUUAAUAGUGCCGAAGUAAGGUGCUUUUAAUUGGAUUGGUUAGAAACUCUAACGGCACACAAUGGAUCGAGUCAAUAGGAGAGGUCGGACAGAAUUUGGAAAUACUUUAAACGCUUAUAACUCCGUUUAUACAAAACGUUGAGGUUCUGAAAUUGUUUCCAUUGGUUUCCUCGUGAAAUUGUCUUCUAGAAGCACCCCUUAAUGCCUAAAGCGUCACGAAAUACGUAUCAAAAUUUGCA
rnacentral:lncRNA from 1 species